rnacentral:rRNA from 1 species
GACGAACGCUGGCGGCGUGCUUAACACAUGCAAGUCGAACGGACAGGCCCUGAUUUUGUUGGGUGCUCGUUUGGCGCACGGGUGAGUAACACGCGUGUAACCUCCCCUUGACUUUGUGAUAACUUCAGGGAACUGGGGCUAAUAUCCGGUAGGAGCUCCUGCUGCGUGUGGGUGGUUGGAAAGUUUCGGCGGUGGGGGAUGGACUCGCGGCUUAUCAGCUAGUUGGUGGGGUAGUGGCGUUCCAGGGCUGUGACGGGUAGCCGACAUGGGAGGGGGACCGGCGACAAGAGGCCUGAGAGAGGGAGCAGUCGCGUACGGGCGGCAGCAGUGGGGAAUAUUGCAGAAUGGGCGCAAGCCUGAGGUAGCAACGCCGGGUGCGGGAAGACGGGCUUCGGGGUGUAAACAGAUGUCGACGGAGAUGAAGAGGGCGUGACGGUAAUUGGUAAAGAAGCACCGGCUAACUACGUG